CACAGUUUCUCCCUUGUAUCCGCGGAGCACCCUAUAUUUUCUCUUUCUCUCUCUACAAUUUCUUCUUCCAAAAGAGGAAGAAGCAUUCUGAGCUGUUGUUUUCUCCAUUUUCAUCGAUCAAGUAAGUUGAGGAGAUAGGGCUUUGAUUGCUGGUUUUUUGUGAAAAUAUGGCGAACCGAAGGGAGGAUGAGAAGAAUGAAAGAACUAUACGGAAUCUGCUUAAACUUCCCGACAAUCGACGAUGUAUAAACUGUAAUAGUUUGGGGCCACAAUAUGUUUGCACUAAUUUCUGGACAUUUGUUUGCACAACAUGCAGUGGUUUACACCGGGAGUUCACCCAUAGAGUGAAAUCAGUAUCCAUGGCUAAAUUUACCUCACAAGAAGUUAGUGCCCUUCAAGGAGGAGGAAAUGCGAGUGCAAAGGAAAUAUAUUUGAAGGAUUGGGACCCACAGCGUAAUUCUCUCCCAGAUGGCAGUAAUGUAGAGAGGCUUCGUGAUUUUAUUAGGCAUGUGUAUGUGGAUAGAAGAUACUCCGGUGAAAGGAGCUUUGAGAAGCCGCCAAGGGGAAAGAUGGCUGAAGCCGAGAACAUGAACGAGAACAGGAAGACAGAUACCUACCGGGGUGGCUCUCGAAGCCCACCAAAUGAGGAAGUAUAUGAGCGUCGAUAUAGCGACAGAGCUAGUCCUGGUGGGAGAAGUAGUGGUGGAAGAAGUCCUGGAUAUGAUCAAAGAAGUCCUGCCCGUGCUGAAGUAAUCAAUGACUGGCGACGGGAGGAUAGGUUUGGUAAUGGUCGAACUUCUGAUGGAGGAUCCAAGUUUGAAAGCAUGUCACCUGACCGUCAAAGCGACCUUGACACAUCUAGUCCUCCAAUGGUUCGUCCUGUUAGAGAGAUUCUUGGAGAUAGUGUAUCUCCUCUUCGAGUUAUUGAGCCUCCGAAAACCAAUGGUGGUAGG
rnacentral:misc_RNA from 1 species